GCUGUGAUGGAUAUAAAUGCACUGAUCAUCCGACAUGAUAAAGUAAUUUUGUCCUCUAAGAAGUUCUGAGCUU